AUGAUAAAGAUUGCUGUCACCAUCACAUGUGAGAGUAAUUUGAUUGCACUAAAUAAACAAAACACAGCUCAUCAGCCUAAUCAAUGUAGCCUCCUACUGAAGAUUCUAGCCAGGAAUGGGAUGGCAACUCAACCAGAAUAAAUAAGAAAGAGCAAGACAGCCUGUCAUUGCCUAAUGAAGCUGAGACAUUAAAGCUGAAUGUGUGCCUGCAGCAUUUAUUGGAGAAUACUUGGUGUUCCUCACAGUCCUUGUGAAACAGAAAG
rnacentral:lncRNA from 1 species